rnacentral:rRNA from 1 species
UACGUAGGGGGCAAGCGUUGUCCGGAAUCAUUGGGCGUAAAGAGCGUGUAGGCGGUCCGAUAAGUCGGCUGUGAAAGUCAGGGGCUCAACCCUUGAAAGCCGGCCGAUACUGUCGGACUAGAGUCCGGAAGAGGCAAGUGGAAUUCCCGGUGUAGCGGUGAAAUGCGCAGAUAUCGGGAGGAACACCAAUGGCGAAGGCAGCUUGCUGGGACGGUACUGACGCUGAGGCGCGAAAGCGUGGGGAGCAAACAGG